rnacentral:rRNA from 1 species
AAGGGCCAUCGCUCAACGGAUAAAAGGUACUCCGGGGAUAACAGGCUGAUACCGCCCAAGAGUUCAUAUCGACGGCGGUGUUUGGCACCUCGAUGUCGGCUCAUCACAUCCUGGGGCUGAAGUAGGUCCCAAGGGUAUGGCUGUUCGCCAUUUAAAGUGGUACGCGAGCUGGGUUUAGAACGUCGUGAGACAGUUCGGUCCCUAUCUGCCGUGGGCGCUGGAGAAUUGAGGGGGGCUGCUCCUAGUACGAGAGGACCGGAGUGGACGCAUCACUGGUGUUCGGGUUGUCAUGCCAAUGGCACUGCCCGGUAGCUAAAUGCGGAAGAGAUAAGUGCUGAAAGCAUCUAAGCACGAAACUUGCCCCGAGAUGAGUUCUCCCUGAGACUAUAAGUCUCCUGAAGGAACGUUGAAGACGACGACGUUGAUAGGCCGGGUGUGUAAGCGCAGCGAUGCGUUGAGCUAACCGGUACUAAUGAACCGUGAGGCUUAACCUUACAACGCCGAAG